rnacentral:rRNA from 1 species
UACGUAGGGUACGAGCGUUGUCCGGAAUUAUUGGGCGUAAAGAGCUCGUAGGUGGUUGGUCACGUCUGCUGUAGAAACGCAACGCUUAACGUUGCGCGGGCAGUGGGUACGGGCUGACUAGAGUGCAGUAGGGGAGUCUGGAAUUCCUGGUGUAGCGGUGAAAUGCGCAGAUAUCAGGAGGAACACCGGUGGCGAAGGCGGGACUCUGGGCUGUGACUGACACUGAGGAGCGAAAGCAUGGGGAGCGAACAGGAUUAGAUA